rnacentral:rRNA from 1 species
AGAGUUUGAUCCUGGCUCAGAAUCAACGCUGGCGGCGUGCCUAACACAUGCAAGUCGAACGAGAAAGUGGAGCAAUCCAUGAGUAGAGUGGCGACCGGGUGAGUAACACGUGACUAACCUACCUUCGAGUGGGGGAUAACCUCGGGAAACCGGGGCUAAUACCGCAUAAUGCCUUCGGGUUAAAGGAGCAAUUCGCUUGAAGAGGGGGUCGCGGCUGAUUAGCUAGUUGGCGGGGUAACGGCCCACCAAGGCGAUGAUCGGUAUCCGGCCUGAGAGGGCGCACGGACACACUGGAACUGAAACACGGUCCAGACUCCUACGGGAGGCAGCAGUGGGGAAUUUUGCGCAAUGGGGGAAACCCUGACGCAGCAACGCCGCGUGGAGGAUGAAGCCCCUUGGGGCGUAAACUCCUUUCGACCAAGACGAUAAUGACGGUACUGGUGGAAGAAGCACCGGCUAACUCUGUGCCAGCAGCCGCGGUAAUACAGAGGGUGCAAGCGUUGUUCGGAAUUAUUGGGCGUAAAGGGCGCGUAGGCGGCGCGGUAAGUCACCUGUGAAAUCUCCAAGCUUAACUUGGAGCCUGCAGGCGAAACUGCCGUGCUGGAGUAUGGGAGAGGUGCGUGGAAUUCCCGGUGUAGCGGUGAAAUGCGUAGAUAUCGGGGAGGAACACCUGUGGCGAAAGCGGCGCACUGGACCAUAACUGACGCUGAGGCGCGAAAGCUAGGGGAGCAAACAGGAUUAGAUACCCUAGUAGUCC